rnacentral:ncRNA from 1 species
UUUUAACACUAGGGGAGCUAGAUGGUUAGCUGAGAGAAACGUGUGUCGUUUUGACCCUUUGUACCCGAACAGGAUAAUGCCUGCGUGGGAAAGUGUAGUCAUAGCUGA